ACGGUCGCAAGAUUAAAACUCAAAUGAAUUGACGGGGGCCCGCACAAGCGGUGGAGCAUGUGGUUUAAUUCGAUGCAACGCGAAGAACCUUACCUACUCUUGACAUCCAGAGAACUUUCCAGAGAUGGAUUGGUGCCUUCGGGAACUCUGAGACAGGUGCUGCAUGGCUGUCGUCAGCUCGUGUUGUGAAAUGUUGGGUUAAGUCCCGCAACGAGCGCAACCCUUAUCCUUGUUUGCCAGCGAGUAAUGUCGGGAACUCCAGGGAGACUGCCGGUGAUAAACCGGAGGAAGGUGGGGACGACGUCAAGUCAUCAUGGCCCUUACGAGUAGGGCUACACACGUGCUACAAUGG
rnacentral:rRNA from 1 species